GACGAACGCUGGCGGCGUGCUUAACACAUGCAAGUCGAACGGUGAGCCUCUUCUUUUGGGGUCAGUUGGAAAGGGGAGAGGGACAGUUAGACGACCUUCCCCCGCCUCUGAGUUAACUCCAAGAUAUUGAGACUAAGGCCAAAUCCUCACCGCUUCCCCCGUUGGUUGGUGGGAGUAGGAUUUGCGGCUGGGGAUGGGCCCGCGGCCUAUCAGCUUGUUGGUGGGGUAGUGGCCUACCAAGGCGACGACGGGUAGCCGGCCUGAGAGGGUGACCGGCCACAUUGGGACUGAGACACGGCCCAGACUCCUACGGGAGGCAGCAGUGGGGAAUAUUGCGCAAUGGGCGGAAGCCUGAUGCAGCGACGCCGCGUGGGGGAUGACGGCCUUCGGGUUGUAAACCGCUUUCAGCAGGGACGAAGCGCAAGUGACGGUAACUGCAGAAGAAGCACCGGCUAACUACGUG
rnacentral:rRNA from 1 species